CCUCGGAGCCCGCUGCGGAGCCCGCUGCUGCCACCUGCGGGCGGAGAGGAAAGGAGGCGCUUCGGGGAGCUGCGCGGCCGGCGGGCGCCUUCCCCGCUCCUCGCCUAGAGGUGAAUGAAGGCCGAGGAGGCCGCGUCAGGCGGACAGCUUGCCAUUGCCCGGGCAAAUGGGCUUGGGCCCUACUGAGAAAAGGGCUUUUGUGCGGGACAGUUUGUGCUGGGUCCACAGUAAGGAUCCCCAGGGAUUGCUUUUUUAAAAAAUAAAGAUUAUGAUGUAUCUGAAUGGCUAAAGAGAAGAGAUCGAAUGGGGCCCGAGGACUGUUCUGCAGAAGUCUCGGCAGAAUUCGCAGAAAUGGUUUAGCCCACGAAAGCCGAAACAGGAUUUGACUUGCUAAAUGUAUGAAUGUGGAUGUUUUAUUACUGUUCUGGGAGUGUCUUUUUAAAUCUUCCCAUCUGUAAAUGAACCUUUCUUCUAAAAAGUGCUUUCAACCUUUAAUGAAAUUCCAGGAGCCAAUGUGUGCCCUGUGUUGCCCACUCAAGGCUUGACAGGCACGAGGUACUCUACAGUCUCGGGUGACAUGGAAGCCAGAGGUAUCCAGUAGCAAGUGUUUCUUGCAGUUAUUAUUCUGCCUUUACACACAGAUUAGGUGUCCUAUAACUCCUUGAUGGUAAGUACUGCACUUUCCCAAACAAAUAAAGCUGUACUCUGUGCUAGCGCUGAAUAUUGAAAUAGAUGUUGUCGUAUUGUGAGGCGCAUUCUAUUACAUUUUUAAAUUGACAGCAAUAGUGCACUUGUGUGGAUCUACCCGUAAUCCCAAAGUGGUUUCCUUCCAUCAGCAACUGCCUCGGUAAUGUCUGUGCGUGCGGGUAAAAGGAAAACAUAAAACUAUCUGCAGCUGACUGCGUCACUCCCUCAUCUGUAGCCCAUGGGCCAAGUCCUUCCAGUACUUACCAUCCUUCUUGUAAGCGCUUGGGACUCUGUUUUCUUGACCUAGGAGGUGCUUGACUGGAAAGUGAAAUUGUAGUCCUGAGACAAACCGAGUACUAGAUGGGAAAUAGUGAAUAAAGACUCCAGGUUCUUCAGCCUACAGAUGGACACUCCGGGAUGUGCUGUGUUCUACACCAUUAGCAUCCCCAUGGUGAUGGAGCCCCACUUGUCCAUAGUGGUGACCUGCACAUUCAUGGAAUCUGGACGGGUUGUCUACCCUUCCUUGCUUAUUCCCUGUUCCGUUUCCCUGGGAUCACCUUCAUAAUUAACUACUGUGCUGAAAUUGCACCAGGGCCUGCCUCCUGAAAAUCCCACCCUGAAGCAAUCUCCAAGGGCCUUUAUUCUUGAUGGGUCACCUGCCCAGUGUUCUCGGAAGAGUGAACCAUAAAUGUUAUCAACGUUGAACAUGUACUGUGUGCACCUACUAUCUUACUGCAAAAUUUACCUCUCAUUCAUUCAUCACAGCAAACCCAUGAGAUAGCACGAUGCCUCACACGGUGACUAAAAGAGAAAUGGAGUGUUUUGACCGGAAGCAUACAUGUUCUCAGUGGCAGAAUUAACUUUGAAGGCACCUCUGUGGGACACCAACAUGCUUCCAAGCCACUGUGUCAUCCUCCCUUAUGGCGAUGUCACUAUACUUCUCAUUAUUUGGGAAUUUUAUCGAAGAAUAAUGACAGAAAUAUUACAAGGAAAAGCCACAUGUAUUUUGUUGCCUCUAAAUUCACAUCACAGCCUUUAAAUACAGUGUGGCUAAUGCCUGACUCAAAGAAAGUCACCCUAGUUAGAGACACAGCCUGAAAUUCCACUCCUUAAGGAGGCUGUGCCCUUCUUGUUCCAUUUCCUGUGUCCCUGGAACCGAGUGCGUUAGUGAAAGAAGCAUUAAUCACAACCCAGAGACGCGCGGCUGGUUCAGAGAAGUGCAUGGAUGGGAGAGAUGUCUCAAAUUGGAAUGUCGAUUGCAUUUUUAUUCAGAAAGAAGGUCAUAAACUAUUCAGCUCUAAGGACAACUCAGGGCCUGAAGUCGGUGCGUAGACACUGAGCGAAUGCCAGUCUGCCAACACUGGCUUCAGCUGGAGCCAAAGCCCAAGGCUGGAGCUGAGACCCUGAGUGGUUUCCCUCUCAGUUCUACUCUGUCCCCUCCAUAACCGUGUGAAAUAAGGACAGCAGUUACCUUACAACCACAAAGCCAGCUCUCCUUGUUUGCAUGAUAAUAGCUAUUAGGAAAAUAAAAGUAUUUUUAAAUGUUGAGAGUAAAUAAAAAGAAAAUAAUCAUUCAGUACUUCUGUCCAGAAAUAAUUUCCAACAUUUUUGCACAAAUUGGUUUUUACACAAACAGGAUAUUUUGCAUAAUUUAACUUUCUUUUAACUUAACGUUGUACCAGGAACAUAUAUCCAGAUCGUUAAUUAUGAAACUCAAGGACUCUGCAGACAAUUUAGUUUCCUAAUCCACACUCUGCUAUUUACCAAUCAUGUAAUCUUAGAGAAAUGUGCCUUUUAUUCUUACCUAUAAAAUGGGAGCAAUAAUAAUACAUGUAUUUUGUAGGGUCAUUGUAAAUGUUAACAUAUGCAAAGCUUUCAGAACAGUGCAUAUAAACUUAAUUACUCCUUUAAGAUUAUUAUCAUUAUUCUGCAUACCAUAGAGCUUCAAUAUCUUACAAAAUACCAACUAUCCCAAUUAUAAUAGACCCUUG
ensembl:lncRNA